GACGAACGCUGGCGGCGUGCUUAACACAUGCAAGUCGAACGGAAAGGCCCUGCUUUUGUGGGGUGCUCGAGUGGCGAAGGGGUGAGUAACACGUGAGUAACCUGCCCUUGUCUUUGGGAUAACUUUAGGAAACUGGGGCUAAUACCGGAUAGGAGCUCCUGCUCCAUGGUGGGCGUUGGAAAGUUUCGGCGGUUGGGGAUGGACUCGCGGCUUAUCAGCUUGUUGGUGGGGUAGUGGCUUACCAAGGGUUUGACGGGUAGCCGGCCUGAGAGGGUUACCGGCCUCAUUGGGACUGAGAUACGGCCCAGACUCCUACGGGAGGCAGCAGUGGGGAAUAUUGCACAAUGGGCGGAAGCCUGAGGCAGCAACCCCGCGUGCGGGAUGACCGCCUUCGGGUUGUAAACAGCUUUCGCCUGUGACGAAGCGUGAGUGACGGUAAUGAGUAAAGAAGCACCGGCUAACUACGUG
rnacentral:rRNA from 1 species